rnacentral:rRNA from 1 species
UACGUAGGUGACAAGCGUUGUCCGGAUUUACUGGGCGUAAAGAGCGCGCAGGCGGUCGAUCAAGUCGAGUGUGAAAGCCCCCGGCUCAACUGGGGAGGGUCAUUCGAUACUGAUCGACUCGAAGGCAGGAGAGGGUAGUGGAAUUCCCGGUGUAGUGGUGAAAUGCGUAGAUAUCGGGAGGAACACCCAGGGGGAAACCAGCCGGCUGGGGACGUGCUGACGCUCAGGGGCGAAAGCGUGGGGAGCGAACCGG